rnacentral:rRNA from 1 species
GCUCAGAACUUAAAGGAAUUGACGGGCCGCACAAGCGGAGGAGCAUGUGGUUUAAUUCGAUGAUACGCGAGGAACCUUACCUGGGCUCGAACGUAAGAUGACUGUAGGUGAAAGCUUACAUCUCUUCGGAGCAUUUUACGAGGUGCUGCAUGGUUGUCGUCAGCUCGUGCCGUGAGGUGUCGGGUUAAGUCCCAUAACGAGCGCAACCCCUACCUUUAGUUGCCAUCAGGUAAUGCUGGGGACUCUAAAGGAACUGCCUACGCAAGUAGUGAGGAAGCGGGGAUGACGUCAAAUCAGCACGGCCCUUACGUCCAGGGCUACACACGUGCUACAAUGGCCGAUACAGAGGGCAGCUACCUGGUGACAGGAUGCAAAUCUCCAAAGUCGGUCUCAGUUCGGAUCGGAGUCUGCAACCCGACUCCGUGAAGUUGGAUUCGCUAGUAAUCGCGCAUCAGCCAUGGCGCGGUGAAUACGUUCCCGGGCCUU